rnacentral:misc_RNA from 1 species
AACACUGUUAACCUGCGGUACCUGCGGAAGGAUCAUUAACGAAUCUAAAGUCGAUACGUUGUGCUGGUGGCAACACACGUGCACACGUGUCGCAUACAUCCACACACCUGUGAACCCUAGACUCUGGUUGAUCGAACGCCGGACUCAUGUCCAUGCGUGUGGGGAUCUUUGUGUCCUCCGUUCGCCCGGGGUACUUUUACACACGCCGAAUGUGAUAGAAUGUAAUCUGUGCAUAACGCG